rnacentral:rRNA from 1 species
AUUGAACGCUGGCGGCAUGCCUUACACAUGCAAGUCGAACGGCAGCAUAGGAGCUUGCUCCUGAUGGCGAGUGGCGAACGGGUGGGUAAUAUAUCGGAACGUGCCCUAGAGUGGGGGAUAACUAGUCGAAAGACUAGCUAAUACCGCAUACGAUCUACGGAUGAAAGUGGGGGAUCGCAAGACCUCAUGCUCCUGGAGCGGCCGAUAUCCGAUUAGCUAGUUGGUGGGGUAAAAGCCUACCAAGGCAACGAUCAGUAGCUGGUCUGAGAGGACGACCAGCCACACUGGGACUGAGACACGGCCCAGACUCCGACGGGAGGCAGCAGUGGGGAAUUUUGGACAAUGGGGGCAACCCUGAUCCAGCAAUGCCGCGUGAGUGAAGAAGGCCUUCGGGUUGUAAAGCUCUUUUGUCAGGGAAGAAACGGUAGUAGCGAAUAACUAUUACUAAUGACGGUACCUGAAGAAUAAGCACCGGCUAACUACGUGCCAGCCGCCGCUGUAA